rnacentral:rRNA from 1 species
UACGGGGGGAGCAAGCGUUGUUCGGAUUUACUGGGCGUAAAGGGCGCGUAGGCGGCCAGCGCAAGUCAGUUGUGAAAUCUCCGAGCUUAACUCGGAAAGGUCAACUGAUACUGCGCGGCUAGAGUGCAGAAGGGGCAACUGGAAUUCUCGGUGUAGCGGUGAAAUGCGUAGAUAUCGAGAGGAACACCUGCGGCGAAGGCGGGUUGCUGGGCUGACACUGACGCUGACAGCGCGAAAGCUAGGGGAGCGAACGGG